ACAGGUGCUGCAUGGCUGUCGUCAGCUCGUGUUGUGAAAUGUUGGGUUAAGUCCCGCAACGAGCGCAACCCUUAUCCUUUGUUGCCAGCGGUCCGGCCGGGAACUCAAAGGAGACUGCCAGUGAUAAACUGGAGGAAGGUGGGGAUGACGUCAAGUCAUCAUGGCCCUUACGACCAGGGCUACACACGUGCUACAAUGGCGCAUACAAAGAGAAGCGACCUCGCGAGAGCAAGCGGACCUCAUAAAGUGCGUCGUAGUCCGGAUUGGAGUCUGCAACUCGACUCCAUGAAGUCGGAAUCGCUAGUAAUCGUGGAUCAGAAUGCCACGGUGAAUACGUUCCCGGGCCUUGUACACACCGCCCGUCACACCAUGGGAGUGGGUUGCAAAAGAAGUAGGUAGCUUAACC
rnacentral:rRNA from 1 species